CUCUACUCCAGAAUUCUGAGCCCUAGCUCAGUGGGUUCCUUGGGAAGAUAGCAUGGCCAUUUUUGCUGGCUGAAUAGGCCUGAGGAGAUGAAGAGAAAGUCAAGAUUUGUGGCACAAAAGAGGGACCAGGGACACACAAUUCAAAUGGGCUUUAUAUUGCAGACAUCAUAACUCAGAGGGAUCGGAGGAGAAAGACAGCAGUGAAGGAAAGGAGCUGAUUGAAUUCUCUCCGACUCUGUAAAGAUGUGAGGAGGUGGUAUGUCUGGAAGCCAUGAACAUCCCUAAAGCAUCACCCCACCUAACCCCAGGACAUAGAUUGAGUUUUCUGCAGUACAUGGCAAGGAUUGGCCCUGUAUUUCAUCUAUUCCUUCUGGAAGCUGAAAUAAUAAACUAUUGUGAGGAUGGGUGUAAUCGCUUCCUCUUCAACACA